UUUUAUUUUUAUUUUGGGGUUAUGACAGUAUUAGAGACACACCCCAAGAGGACAUCUUUCUGAAUAAUUGCAUAUGAAUUGGGGUUGAAAUAGUUGCUAGGAAAAAAAAAGAUCUCAGCCAUCAAGAUGUGGAGAAGAGAAAGGUUAAUUCCUUUGGAACAGAGAUAGGAAUGCAGCUUACCACCAAUUCCCUCUUCAGUCCAACACCCAUGGUGCACACCAGUAGAAGAUCCUAGCCUUCUUCACCAAUGAACUAGACAAACCUUCAAAAGUGUUAUGAGCUGUAUCAGGUACCUGCAACCUAGAUUAUUUGCUUUGAGGGUCAUGGAGUUUGAAACUUACAUCAGAUUACACACUAUGUGAAGCUGUGGAGGGUUGCCAUUUUGUCCCUGCUUCGUGAACUCUAAUGCUCCUUUAUGGGAAUUCUUAGCUUAAUUCCGAGGCCACAAAUGAAAAACAAAGAGGGACAGUAUCUCCUUCCUUUCUCAAGCCUUAUUUCUUCAUGAAAUGAUCACACUUCGAAACAUGGUGAGCUCCGUCAUUUUCUUGGUUCUAAAAGGCUUAGCAGCAGCUGAAUAUCUGUUCUCUCUCUUAGUUCUGCCUGCUGUGGCCCUUUUCCAGAUAUUGCAUGGUGAGCUGUUACUCUACAAAUCCGGGGAUAAGAGGCAGUCCUAAUUCUUCCCUGUUAAAAAGAAAAAAACCAGACAAAACAAAACUCAUGUCAUACUCAUUUAAGUGAAAAGGGAGAAUUUACCCUGAAAAUAUUUUAUAAGUGCCGAGAGGAGGGAGAGCAGACACAGAGAAAUGCAACUGGGACCAGGAAUGGCAUCAGCAUCAUGGACAGCAAUCCACCCCUUUUUUUUUCCUGUGGUUAUGGCCAACUCUUCAGAUUUGUCCUCCUUUCCACUUUGCAUGUUGCACAUAAUCCUUCUGGAAUGCUCUCCCUAGAUCCUCACAUGGCUGGUUCCCUCAUGGUUAUAAAUUAUCUUAUUUUCUUUGUUUACUAAUUUACCAUAUGCCUCUGCCAUUAGAACCUAAGCUUCUGAGAGCACAGCCUUAUUUAGAGCAAUGCUUUAUAAAUAAUAGGCACAUAGAAAUACUUUUUUGAAUAUAUAAAAGUAUAAAUAAGAGAGUGGCGCCUCUAGUUCCAGAUUCCCUUGGAGAGACAAUUAAACUGGCCUAGCUAUGGUUGGUUUUCAACCCUCAUCCUAUUAGUUGAGGCACAGUGAGUAGAAUCACAUAGGCCAACCACUUUUUAUGGGUACCUGUGUCCGAGGGGAGACUGGCUGAUUUGGAAAGCCAUCAUAGACUAGGAAAUAUGUCUCCAAAUAACUACAAGUACCUUGUAUUUGUGACUUUACAGUAGAUGGUGAAGAUAGGGGUUGAUGUCCUUAACUUUGGCAGAGGAAACGGGUAGUUUUUCUGCUUCAAAUUUUGUUAUCAGCAGUCGAGGCCCACCGGGCACCAUGGAGUACCCUGAACCCAAAGCCGUUAUUUAUUUAUUUAUUGCUGUUAAAUAAUUAAAACUCCAUAGGUCAGUCCAAAAUUUAUCUACGAUGGAUGAUUUGUGAUUUCCCCUCCAUUUACCUAUUCUAUCGAUAUUUCUGAAUCAGGGGUGUGUGUGUGUGUGCGCGCCCGUGUGUUUUAUUUUCAGGUUCCCAAAAGUCUGUGUUAAGAAUCUCAUAGGGUCCUGAAGAAGAGCCAAAUAGUAAUCUCCAGGCAGAUAUUAUGGAAUAGCUGACUCACCCUGAAAACAAACUAGGGCUUAGAGUUGCUGUUAGAACAAAAUUAGUGAAGCCUGUGGAGAACUUUUCCUUGUCUUUCAGUUUUGUUCAGCAAGGAGAUACUUAUCAUCAAUUAUCAGGCAUGGUUUUAGAUGUGAAGAAUAUGGGUCUCUGCCCCCAUGGAACUGCCAUUCUAAUUUGAAUAGUAAUUGAAAAUAGAGAUUAAAUAAACCAGUAACAAGAGGACAGUGUUUCAGACGAGAUGGUAUCGUUAAGAAAAUGAAAUGGGAGGGCAUGAGCUGGAAUGGCGAGGGGUGAUUCAGAUGACUAGAGGUGGCAGGAAGCUUGGCAGGGCAGAGGAAGGCAGGGCCUGUAAAAGGGGCGUGUGAAAGAGGUCACUGGCAGGACAGGGCAUGCUGUGUUUGAAGAGCAGGAAAAAGGGCAGCACAUGGCUGGAAUGAGCUCCGAGGGCAAGAGGGAAAUAAGAAGUUUGAGGAAAAACUGAUCAAGGAACACUUCUUUGCUCAUGGUAAGGAGCUAGAAUUUUAGUCCCAGAGCAAUGGGGAGCCACUGCAGUGGCCUGACAGAGGGGUACAUCAUUCAAAUUACAAUUUAUAGGAAUUUGGUGGAGCGUGGACUGGAGAGGGGGAAAGUGGAAGAAGAGGAGGAAGCUAAGCAGUUUCCGCAGAAUCUGGGGGCGAGAUGACAACGAUGACCAUAUAUCCACCAACUCACCACAUGACAGAGGGCAUCUGUUCAUCUGCUUUGUAUGUAGGUUUUUACCUCCCCCAGUUACCCUCAAUCUAAGGCUGAAAAGUAAUCAAGUGAUUGAAAUAUGGCACUUCUAGUGUGCCUUUAGGACAAAGCUUGGUGAGUUAGCAAACAGUACUGUAACACAGAAUCCUAGAGGGGUUAAAAAAUACAGGUCUUGAUUAUAUGGGUACAUUUGAAGAAAUACGAAGUCACAUUAAGUUUGUGAAUUCUUGUGAAACUAUUUUUUUAACAAUUUUAAAAAAUGGAUAGCUAUAUAUAAAGUUUGAAUUUUUAGAGUCAAUAUAAAUUUGGUUCUGAAUUUCUGUGAAUCUGUCUGUCAACUCAGAAACGUAUUUCAGAUCCCUGACUUCUAAGUGUGUUAAGUGUGUGUGUAUAAGGGGAUACUCACUAACCACAGUGAUAAUGCUUACUCAUAAAUCUCAUCUGGUAAUAAGUAUGUUUACUUUGUGCCAAAUGUAUGCUUGAAACUUUAUAUACAUCAUCUCUUUGAAGAAUUACAAUGACUAGGUGACAAUAUGCAUAUUAAUGCCCUACACCUUGAAGAAGGAAAUUAAACCUUAAAUUAAAUAACAUGUUAGAAAUUGUGCAGUAAGUAGAGGAGUGUUCAUAGAGUUUAUCUCUAUCAAUUCACCUAACAAUUGGACAUUGUGGGAUAGUGUAUGGAAACACUUGGCAUAGCUUCGGUCAGCAUAGGUGUUUGAUAAGUUUCAUGCUGUAUAUCUCCCUAUAGAUUUCAAAUAUUUAUGACCACAGAAUUAUUUCUAAGGAAAGUAAAGGACUGCAGGAGGUCUUGGCAUGUAAUUUUUCCCCUAAUGAUUUCACUGCACCCUUGAGCAUUCCACAUGUGUAUUUAAUCACAGAAUCUCAGCCAUGAUAUUUCUGACAGGUAAUUUCCUUAAUGCAUUUGACAGAGAUGGAUUGCAUGGAAGUCCAUUGGAUUCUGUGCUUUUGUCUGCAAGUGAUAAGACGAGCUCAGAUCUAUCUGAGUCUAGUGCCGCCAAUGAUAUUGCAUCCUAAUAAUUCCCAUGAUAAUAUGGAUCAUCUUUGUGGACAUACACAAUUCUUGGCCAGAUGGAAUACACCAGUUUUCAAGGCACCCUGCCACUUUUAUUACACCUUGAGAAACAUCUAGGCUGAUAUUUGUGUGUCAGAAUCAUAAACCAAUUUAGUCCUCAGAGAUAGGCCUAGUUGUGCAAUUUAUCUUCAAAUACCCUUGUUUUUUUUUUUCUUUUCCCUGCUACAACUGAAAGUGUUGAAUGAUGAACACGAAUGCCAAGAUAUUGGAUUCCUUUUUAGAUUGUAAUGUAUUAACACUGGCAUGUGACAACCUGAGCAUCACUGCGACUCACUGAUACUUGGUGAGCAACAGUGAUAUGGGCUUUUUGCCAUUUCACCCCUAGGACUAAUAAUCCCAAUCCACUCAAGCAAAGGUACAAAUGCCUCUCAGUGGGGACUCCCUUCCUGACCUUUUUGUCCUCCCCUCCACUGAGCAUCAGCCUUUAGUCCUUAUGGUUUGUUGGUGUGCUAGUAUAGAUCAAAGGGUGCAGAGAGUCAGGUCAGAGGUCUUUGAUGCCCCUGGGAAACACAAAUGCUGCUAUUUCACAGAUGUCCUUCAGGCUAAUCAUGUCAUUUGCGCUCAGCAGGCACAUUCCUGGAUAGCAUCAUGGUACACUGAAAAGAGAGAUUUUGUUGUUGCAAUCUAGUACUAGUCUCUUACACUGGACCACCUGGACCCUCCUAUGUGCUUACAGAUUUGCUGAGAAAAAAUGUCUGGUUCCCUUUAAAAACUAAUUUUAUUUUGAGAAACUGCCAUGCAUUUAGAAAAAGAGAAAGUAAUACAAUGAAUGCCAUACACCCACUGUUGGGAUUUAAUAAUUGUGCAGAUAUGCAAAACCACUUUAAAGAAAGUUUUCAGACAUCACAAAAUGUACUUUUAAAUACAUAAGGUUGUAUCUGUAAAAAGAAGUAUGAUAUUUUAUAAAACUAUGAUAUCAUUAUUGCAACUAAUAGCAUUAACUUAAAUUCAUCCUAUCAUCAAAUAGUCUAUAUUCACAUGUACUCAGUAGUCCCAAUAAUAUCUCUUACAACUUAUUUUCAAAAUAUAGCUCUUAAGUCACUUUGAGCUACUGAAAUUAUAUGUAAGGAGAGGAGAAUGUGUGGCAUGAUAUAGUAUAUAAGUAUUUAAAAUAUUUUUUACAGUGAAUCUAUUCUUCCUUGCUUGGUCCUCCUAAGAGAUUAUCAAUCACUUAAAAAUCACAUGAAGUCUUAAAAAGGAGUAUACAUAUAAUAUGUUGCUAUGGGAAGGCUCUUUUAAAAUUAUGGAAACAAAUAUAGUUCCCUAUAAAAUAUCAUUUAUCAACAUUUUUCCUAAUGGUGAAAAACUGGAUACAACCUAAAUCUCUGACACAAAGAAUUAGCUAAUUUAUGGUGGUCAUAUUGGAAAAUGCUCACAAUAUAUUGUCAAGUAAACAAAGCAGAUUUCAAAACUACAUGGGCAGAAUCACAGCUCUCUAAGAAUUAGCUCACAGCCAGACAAAAAUGUUAAAAAUAUAUUUUUGAUGUGUUAACCAUAGUUAGUUCUAGAUAGUGGGAUUAUAGUUCAUUUUAUUUCAUUUUACUUUUCAAAAAUUGCUUACAUUUUUUGCAUGAAUUGUGGAAUAUUUUGGUGAUUAAAUUAAAUGAACCUGAUGAAUCAGCCAACUUGGCAAAGAGAUAUAUUGUCUAGUUGGAAAGGAAACCAGAAGCAUAAAUGAGAAGGAAUGGAACACCCUCAUGCUCAUGUACUCAGCGUAGGUUCCUUGGAACAGACCAUGGCUGCAACGCUGCAGAAGGUAACAGCUUCCUGCUGAAAUGAAGAAGCCAUAGGAUGUCUCUCAGUGUUUGCUCUGGCUUCAUAAGUCUUUCAUUGAAAUGCUCUGGUAUUUGUCACAGUAAGGUUUUAUUAAAAACCCUAAAAUUGGAAUUUACAUUGCAAUUAGUUUCAUAAUGACAUUUUGAGGGAGCUUUUAACUGCAUGUCACAGAGGUCUGAUAUGGACCCUAACUGAAACUAUGCAGAAAGGAAAUGUUUUCCUCAAUUGCUAUUUAUACUGUAAGCAAAUAAGAUCAGGUAUGCUGCAGUGAUAAACAUUGGUUCAUCAUACCGCUUUUGGUAUUGUUAUCCUGAGUUGACUAUGUCCUCAUUUAUUUGGGGUUCUAAUGCAGAUUAGACAUGUCUCAUGAUUAUAGAAAGUAUGGCCAUUGAACUGACUUAAAAAUUCAAAUUUCAGAGAUUGAUGAGCCUUCAGAGAAAUGGUGGACACAGAGUGUAGACAUCACUAGGCAGUUAGGGGUUGGAGGAAGUUCUUUGACACUGUGAAACCCAUACCUGAAGCAUGGGAAAUGGGAUAAACCCUCUAAUGAAAGGUUGGCCAGAGGCAGGUCAAAACUUUAGGACACUAGAUGAGAAGGUCGAGUGAUAUCUAGUUAAUGAAGCCUGAGGAGAUAUCUCCAUAAGGACCCUGCUAUAAAGAUUCACACUGAUUCAGUUAAUUACCUCACAUCUGAGAAUGCAUUGUUCUAACUCCAAAACACACACACACACACACCCUGUAGGGCAUAAGCCACUCUGUGAGGCAUAUUUAUAUCAAUUAGCCUUUCAUUAGAAGAAUAGCACUCUAUAUAGGUUGUGAAUUACUGAGGAGGUCUAGGUCAGCAGUUCCCACAGUUCCCAGAUACCUCCAAGCAAUUGCCUGCAUAACUUCUCCAAUACAUCUGGUGAAUAAAAUUUCAUUUCUUUUAUCCAGAUUUCUGGAAGAAUCUGUUCUAGCUGGUCUGUACUCUGAUCACCUGUACAUCUGGAAUGGCCCCAAAACAAAAAAGGGGAAAAAAGUAUUAGUGUCCUCAAUGAAAUAGAAGACCAUUGGUCAAGAUAUCAAUUACUAUCUCAAAUGCAGAAUUCUCUGUUGAGUAAUGACAAAAAUCCCAGGACUUCUUAGAAGGCCACUAAGGAACAGAAAACCGUUGAUGAAUUAAUGUGCUUAGCACAAUGAACUUUAAAUAAAUCUAAAAUAUUUUUUUUAACUUAAAAGGUCCUGCAGCCAAAGUCAAGUUCUCUCAUUUUGUGGUAUAUAGGCAUUGAUGCUUCUCACUCUUCAAUACAUUCCCAAGAGAUUUUGACCUCUCAGGCAGGCACUUUUUUUUUUCUGAAUGAUACUCAGAUCUCUAGAAGGUGAACUAAAGGGGAGAUAGGAGGUGAUGUAAGUUAGAAUGGAAAACUGAGAAUGUUGAGCAUAUGGAGCGGCACAGCUGCCCAGAAAUCACACUAGGUGAAGUACCCCAACACCACAUGGAAUGGGAAUGGCAUUCUCUGGCCUCUGUGGUUCUAACUGGGUACAGCAAGUUGUUCAUUGAGCAUAUAGAGUUUCUCAUUCUCACUCUAUCACUAAUUUGCUUUAAGAGUUAAAACAGACUUGUCUAAACACAUGCACAUACUAAAGGAGGUUUGGUUAUACUUCAGAGGAUGCUAACCAUUCGGGGAAUCAUGAAAAAAAGCUUUUUUGAAUAAAUAAAAAUUAAAAAGAAAUUCCCAGGCUUUUCUCCAGUCUUCUCAAGUAGAACCUGGAGAAACAAGCCCAGGAAUGUACAUUGCAUGUCCCACUCAUGUAGGAUCCCGAUGAUCUGUCCAGUCUGGGAAUUUAUGAGGUAUGAAUGUGAUAUGAUUAGAACACUGUGUAACUGCGAUUUGUGACCCAGAGGAAAAUCAGUCUUAAUUCUUUGCCAUCAUACUUACUGUUUAGAGUCUGUGCUCUCUUCCUAAGGAAACCACACUCUGCCCCUCCCAUUCUUUAAUAUGGAACUUUGUCAUAAGAAUAGAUAUCCUCAGUCUUUAAUAUUUGAUUGAAGAAGUAAUUUCAGUCAUGGUACAUCAGAAAGCUGCUCUUUUCCUU